rnacentral:lncRNA from 1 species
UCGUUAGGCCUUGUAAACAGUUAUUCUGCCUCUGGUGAUACUAUUAGCUAUCGGAAACAAGAAGUAGGCAUCGUAAACGCUGAUGGUUUUUAUUAUAAUAACAAUUAUUCUGGAAAAGUAAUUACGACAGUAAUGUGAUUUAUGAAAUAAUGAUGAAGAAUGUGUAAUGGGAUUUCUGCAAGAAACAUGUUUUGGUAGGGAGAAGUUUGAGUAUGUACAGUUGUUAGACCUGUCUUACCCUGUGGCAGUCCCAGAAGAUGUUACCAUUAUGAAUAAAUGCAGGGGAACUUGAAGACAAUGGUUAGUGCAGAAUGGACAUAAAAGUAAUGAUAAAAGUAACAGAUAUAAAUAAGAAGUGCGACAAGUGUGUUGUCAUGUGAAAUGGACUUUACCCCAACUGUGCUGCAUGAUGUAUAUUCAAGUGUGAGACAGCCAGUGCACCAGCUGUAAACUGGGAUGGACCCACACAUGAAAUAUGUUGACUUUUCUAUGUACUAUCAUCUGUGCAGAAUGUGUUUAUGACAAGACUGUAUACAUAUAUUGUUAAAUCAUUUUUUAUUUCCAUUAUGGCAUGCAUGUAAGAAGCAAGCAUUAAUUAAACAAUUGCAUCCAUAGAAAUGUUAAAAUGUGAUCAAUCUAAUUUGAAGAAUAACCUUUAAUUGGACUUUCUGAGUUUCAUAUUAUCUGUGGUGGUGACUGACCCAGUCAUUCAGCAACUUAUACUGUCUGUGAGUCAUUUCUAUGUAUGUUAUAGUUUUCUUAAUAAUGCAUAAAAUAUAAAAAAUAUGGUUAGAUGAACUCAUUCAUCACUUGUAGAUUAAUGUUAAAGCAGUUCAACAUUUUACUAUAACUUAAUCAAUAUUCUAUUCAACGAGAUUUGUCACAUAUUUUCAUAUAAACAUUUGUAUAAUACAGUCUA